UACGUAGGGUCCAAGCGUUAUCCGGAAUCACUGGGCGUAAAGCGUGCGUAGGUGGAUAGUUAAGUGCAACAUUAAAUCCCGUGGCUCAACCAUGUGGCUGUGUUGCAUACUGGCUAUCUAGAGGACAUGAGAGGCAAGUGGAGUUACUGGUGUAGCAGUGAAAUGCGUAGAUAUCAGUAGGAACACCAAUGGCGAAGGCAGCUUGCUGGCAUGUAUCUGACGCUAAGGCACGAAAGCGUGGGGAGCGAACAGG
rnacentral:rRNA from 1 species